rnacentral:rRNA from 1 species
UACGAAGGGGGCUAGCGUUGUUCGGAAUUACUGGGCGUAAAGCGCACGUAGGCGGAUACUUAAGUCAGGGGUGAAAUCCCGGGGCUCAACCCCGGAACUGCCUUUGAUACUGGGUAUCUCGAGUCCGAGAGAGGUGAGUGGAAUUCCUGGUGUAGCGGUGAAAUGCGCAGAUAUCAGGAAGAACACCUAUGGGCGAAGGCAGCACUCUGGGACGGUACUGGACGC